UGCUAAGCAACACGCGCUGAGCGCUUUCUCUUUCUGAUUCUUCCUUUUCUCUAUCCAGCUCGGUAGGCGUGCCCUUUGAACCAGACAUACACAGCAAACAAAGAGCCGACCGAGGGCAGGAGCCCCCACAGGCGCUUGCGCACAGCGUGCGGGGUAAUCAGUCAGAUGGGUUUGCUUUUCCUCUCCGCGGGUUCAACCUCAUUCAUGGAGCACGACCCGACCCCUCUCACUUGGUCAGCAAAACAAGAGGCCAGGAUGUCUGCUGACAAGGGAGCCAAGCAGAAGACACUAGUGUUUUCUGCCUUGCUAAUGAUGUAGCCAAAGUGCUAGGAGCCAACACAAUCCCUUCACCAGCAUGAGCAAAUCUUUCGAAUGUCUGUCUUAAUAGAAGAUGGCCAGAUUCUCAUAUCCACUUCUGCAUUGGGUCUGCUGCAAUUGGUUGUUUUGGCUGACAUAUAUGAAGAAAAUCCAGCUUCAUGCAGAUAUAUAGUUGGAAAGAGAGAAACAUCUUAAUAACCUUUUUAGAGAAUUGUGGAUAUUCUUUGAAACUACAUCAAAACUGGAUAAGAGAUUGUUUCCUAAAGGUUCAUUCUAAUGAAGAAUCUGAAACAUUUCAAUAAAUGUUUUGCAUUCUGUUACAUUAAAAUCCAUAGCUCUUUGAGUGGAUCUCAUACUCAAGCAUGAUUUUCAUGCAUUGGUCAUUUGAAAAAUAAUAGCUCACUGAGUUAUGUGAGUCUUCUAAAUGUUGACACAUUUCCUUAGCAAUACAAAAAUAUAUUACAUUAAUUAACAUCACCUCCAAUCUCAUUAGAGAACUCUUUUAAGUCUUUGGGAAUUUUGAAGCCUUCAUAGUAGCAGUCGCAAGUUUUCUAAAAUUCUAAUUUUUGCUUGAAAGCUCAAAUUCUGCAUGUUGGUAACCAGAAAAAAAAAAAGCUCAAGUUUUUAAAUUAUUUACAACAAAUAUGACAGGUUUUUUUGUUUGUUUGCUUGUUUUUGUUUUUAGACAGAGUUUUGCUCUUCUCGCCCAGGCUGGAGUGUAAUGGCGUGAUCUCAACUCACUGCAACCUCUGCUUCCCAGGUUCAAGCAAUUCUUCUGCCUCAGCCUCCUGAGUAGCUGGCAUUACAGGUGCACGCCACCAUGCCCAGCUAAUUUUUGUGUUUUUAACAGAGACGGGGUUUCACCAUGUUGAUCAGGCUGAUCUCGAACUCUUGAUCUCAGGUGAUCCACCUGUCUCGGCCUCCUCCCAAAGUACUGGGAUUUCAGGCAUGAGCCACUGUGCCUGGCCACCAUUUUUUUUUUUUUUUUUAAAGGGAUGAGCUCGCUGGGUGGUUUUUAAAAAGAUGCCAGUCAUUCUUUCGAUUAAAAUGAAAAAAUGAAAAAACAGUUAGUUUAAAAAAAAAAAAACCUAGUUCAGUUCACAGCUCAAAGAGUUGCUCAGAGAAUUUUCCUCAAUAUAAUCACUGUGCACACACAGGUGCCCUGUACUUCCUAUUUAGUCACACAGAAUAUUAAAAAGACAUGUAAUCAGGCCCUAGAUUUUGUAAAAUCAAUUCAGUUUCAAUUUCACUGGGGUGAAAUGGUUAAGUGAAACUGGGUGUUUAUUUUUUAGCUGCAAAUGCUUGGUGGUGGUGGCCACAUGACUGCUAGUGUGGUUUGGUGCCAUGGCCUUGGGUCACGCUAAGCACCAGCAGUUUUACCCACCAUGGCUUUUGCACCAUCAGUGCAAAUGUCAGCACAAUGUAAAAAGCAAAUAAUGUACUAGUAUUAUCAUGAAAAUAGUUUUGACCUGGUAGACCUCUCAAAAAAUAUCUCUAGGGGCCCCCAGAGUUUUGUAGAACACACUUUGACAACCAUUACUCUAGGGUACAAACUUAGAAAUGGAACUGCUGAAUUGUAGGUUGUGUUUAUGUUUAACUUCCAAAAUACUGCCAAAUUGUUUUCCAAAAUGAAUGUACCAAUUUAUACUUAAACCACCAGUGUAUGAAUUCUGGUUUCUUUGUCUUGCCUAAACUUGGUACAGCCACAUAUCUCUUCUUUUUUAAAAAAUUCAUUAUUAUUAUUUGUUUUGAGACGGAGUCUUGUUCUGUCACCCAGGCUGGAGUACAAUAGCGAAAUCUUGGCUCACUACAACUUCUGCCUCCCGAGUUCAAGUGAUUCUCCUGCCUCAGCCUCCCGAGUGGCUGGGAUUACAGGCACAUACCACCACCUGGCUAAUUUUUUUAUAUUUUUGGUAGAGACGGGGUUUCACCAUGUUGGCCAGGCUCAUCUCAAACUCCUGACCUCAAGUGAUCUGCCCCCAUUGGCCUCCCAAAGUGCUGGGAUUACAGGUGUGAGCCACCGUACCUGGCCACAUAUCUCUUCUUAAAUUUGUGCUGUUCUAACUGGUAUACUGAAGAAUACAUUUAGUGUUGAUUCAUUAAUUGCUUAUUUAUGAUAAAAAUUUAAACCUUAUUGACAUACAUUAAAAAAACCUCAAUAAAUGGAGAUAACAUGUUAAUUUUUAAAUUGUGCUCUUAUAGAUGAACGAGCUUACUAAAAUACCAGAACUUUCUAUUACUUAUUCUUUACAACAAUCUUAUGAAGUAGUUACUAUAGUUUCACACCUGAGAACUGAGGCGUGGGAGGGGUAAGAAUCUCAUUCAGGGUCCCACAGCUUGCUGGGAAGGUAAGCCACCACUACACCACCCUCAUGGACUCAGGCACCACACACAUUCAACCAGGCAGGGGUUUAGGAAGAAAAAGGGAAAAUACGAGAAGACACAACAUUUAUUUUUUAUAUAAGGCUGUCACUGGGCCAGGUAUGGUGGUUUAUGCCUGCGAUCCCAGCACUUUGGGAGGCUGAGGCUGAUGGAUCACUUGAGGUCAGGAGUUCGAGACCAGCCUGACAACAUGGUGAAACCCCAUCUCUACUAAAAAUACAAAAAUUAGCUGGGUUUGGUGGUGGGCACCUGUAAUCCUAGCUACUUGGGAGGCUGAGGCAGGAGAAUUGCUUGAACCCAGGAGGCAGAGGUUGCAGUGAGGCAAGAUCACGCCGUUGCACUCCAGCCUGGGUGAAAGAGGGAAACUCCGUCUCAAAAAAAAAAAAAAAAUGCUGUCAUUGAUUUCUUAUGGAAUUUUGGCUGGGAUUUAUUUUUAUGUAGGCUUUCAAAUUGUUACAAAUCUUUCUGACUUAUUUAAUGCCAACAGUAUUUUAUCUGCUAUAGAGUACUUCAGGAAGAAGACUGAUUUAUUCCUUGAAAAAGUGGCAGUGAUACCAUAAUUUCAAAUUCAUUUCAGCUGUUUUCUUACUCCCUUAGUACAGAUGCUCCUCAACUUAUGGUUAAGUUACAUCACAAUAAAUCCAUCCUACAUUAUCAUAGGUCGAAAAUACACUUAACACACCUAACCUACUGAACAUCAUAGCUUAUCCUAGCCUACCUUAUGUGCUCAGAACACUUACAUUAGCUCACACUGGGCAGAAUCAUCUAAUGCAAAGCCUAUUUCAUGAUAAAGUGUUAAAUAGCUCAUGUAAUUUAUCGAAUGCUGUACUGAAAGUGAAAAAUAGAAUGGUUGUAUGGGUACUCUACUUAAUGUGUAUCGCUUUUGCGCCACUGUAAAGUCAGACCAUUUUAAGUUGGGGUCUGUGUGUAGCAGACAUCAGAAGUGGUGGUGUUCGUUCCCAUCCCUUGGUGGCUGAGUAAGCAUAGCUUGUGGUGUGUGGAAAAUCGCUCAGGUACACUACCAGGCAGGUUGUUCUGUUCUACACACAGAACAGAUGGGCUCAUGGACCCAAUUAAAAUGCUUGAAUCAUAUUUUUAACUUAAUUGAAAUCACACAGUGAGAAGCAAAGGAGAAGAGAAGGGCCGGUUAACACACUUGGUUGAGGUGCAGUAAGAGGGAAAGAUUCCCGUCUGAAUCUUGGGGCACUCAAUGUCAGAUCACCUGAGACCCGAAUGGGUGUCAUUCGUGGGUGGCCAAAUGAAGACUCAUGAAUAUUAAGUACUCGUGUAUCUUUAGCAUAUCCCAAAUACCUAGUGUCUCUUCUACACUUUUUACAUUAUGACUAUUUAGUACCCAAGUGGUGCCUCAUGAUUAUUAGAUAUAUUUUUAUCCUUCCUUCUGUCUAUGUUUAGCACACAUGGUCUACUGAUUAACUGCUAAUCUUGUGCUUAACACAUCUUAUGAGUUCUGUUUAUGUUCAACAAUAUUUUUGCUUUCCAGUUUCUUAUCCAUUUAAAACAUCUUAAAAAGUUAUGCUUAUGUUUGACAAACUACACAUUUAUUAAUCUGAUAGGCUGAAUAUUCUCAAUGCAAAUGCAUGUUAUAGUUUGGAAAAUGGCCAUUUCAGGAAACAUUAUUUCUGUCUGUUUUAAACAAAAGCAACAUAUUUGUGUAAUUAAGGUAGCUAACAGUUGUAGCUAAGAAUUGGGCAUUUUUAUGAAGUCUAUAUUAUCUUACUGUUUUAAUCACCUAAAAUUGUACUGUCUAAUAGGUAGCCUCUGGCUACAUGUGGCUACUGGGUACUGGGACCUUGGCUGGUCCAUUAAGUUCACAUUGAGAUGUGCUGCAAAUGUAAAAUAUGUACCAAUUUCAAGGUUUAGUAUGAGAAAAGCAAAAUGUCUUACUAACACUUUGUAUAUUGAUUACAUAUUGAAAUGAUGUUUUGGUUAUAUUGAUUACUUAAAUUAUUAAAAAUAAUUUUACCUGC